rnacentral:rRNA from 1 species
GACGAACGCUGGCGGCGUGCUUAACACAUGCAAGUCGAACGGAAAGGCCCUGCUUUUGUGGGGUGCUCGAGUGGCGAACGGGUGAGUAACACGUGAGUAACCUGCCCUUGACUGUGGGAUAACUUCAGGAAACUGGGGCUAAUACCGGAUAGGAGCUCCUGCUGCAUGGUGGGGGUUGGAAAGUUUCGGCGGUUGGGGAUGGACUCGCGGCUUAUCAGCUUGUUGGUGGGGGAGUGGCUUACCAAGGCUUUGACGGGUAGCCGGCCUGAGAGGGUGACCGGCCACAUUGGGACUGAGAUGCGGCCCCGACUCCUACGGGAGGCAGCAGUGGGGAAUAUUGCACAAUGGGCGGAAGCCUGAUGCAGCAACGCCGCGUGCGGGAUGACGGCCUUCGGGUUGUAAACCGCUUUCGCCUGUGACGAAGCGUGAGUGACGGUAAUGGGUAAAGAAGCACCGGCUAACUACGUG